UGCACCCGUCUUUAGAACCAAAAAUAUUCUCUCACAGAUUUCAUUCCUGUUUUUAUAUAUAUAUUUUUUGUUGUCGUUUUAACAUCUCCACGUCCCUAGCAUAAAAAGAAAAAGAAAAAAAUUUAAACUGCUUUUUCGGAAGAACAACAACAAAAAAGAGUGCAUAGUUUGCCUGGAGAAUCCACUCACGUUCAUAAAGAGAAUGUUGAUGGCGCCGUGUAGAAGCCGCUCUGUAUCCAUCCACGCGUGCAGAGCUGCCAGCAGGGAGCUCACAGAAGGGGAGGGAGCACCAGGCCAGCUGAGCUGCACCCACAGUCCCGAGACUGGGAUCCCCCACCCCAACAGUGAUUUUG
rnacentral:ncRNA from 2 species